rfam:Arabidopsis thaliana chromosome 3, complete sequence.
GAAAGAAGAACAUAUAAGGAUAGCCAAGGAGACUGCCUGAUGUCUAUUUAUAAACAAAAUGGUCAUUUCUUGGUAUAACUUAUAGUCACUUCAAAACAUGACAUCGACCAUUUUGUUCAGAGAAGCAGGCAAGUCAUCCUUGGCUACCAAAUAUUGUUCUCCUAU